GUGUGUGUGUUUGUGUGUGUGGAUAUAUCUAUCUAUAUAUAUAUAUACAUAUAUAUAUAUAGAUAGAUAUAUAUAGAUAUAUCCACACACACACACGCGGCGUGUGU